GCAUAACAUAUUAACCAGUAACUACUCCGUAAUCUGUAACACUACAUGAAUUGCAGUCCAUGCGAAUCUUGAUGACGGAUUGCAUAUCUGAACAAUAUUUACAUUUUAUUUAUUUUGUGAUACAAGUCAUAACUUGUAUCACAAAAUAAAUAAAAAUCUGUAAAUAUUGUUCAGAUAUGCAAUCCGUCAUCAAGAUUCGCAUGGACUGCAAAAUGGGAUGGGUGGUAAUUUCAAAAGUACUUUGCUGCAGAGGUCAUACACCUUUGCUUGCAAGUGACACAAUGAGGCUUACUGAUCCAAGCAGGAAACUAUACAGACGAAGAGUUGAAAACUGAUUGGUCUAUUUUCCCGCACGCAUGGGAAGAGAUUCGACAAUGGUUUGUUGUUAAUUCAGCCUUGCGCUUUGCACGUGUAUGAUCAUUGUACUACAGAAUAAUGAUUUUGGUCGCGUAAGACACCUGGAACCUAGCUUAGCCACUUUUCUCUCCCCUAAGUGGCCCUACUGGUUGUCUCCCUAUACUGUGUCCGAACGCUUGUUUCAUUAACUUAAGUUCAUAAUGCUAUGGGCAUGUAUAAACUUGCUGUACAAAGAAUGUCUUACUUGAUGUCUCAGUUUUUGGUAGCCAGAAGUGGUUGCGUGAUCAGUAACAUUAACUGACCUUCUUUCUUGAAAUUUUCAGCAAACAGAUGGAGUUACUGAAAGGAGACCGUUCGAUCGUGAAACUGACUUGGGUGUCAGACAAAUGGAUGCUGCGAAACGAAAAUCUUUAAUAAAACAAUCAACACAUUUGAAUUCUAAGUUUGCACAUUCGAAACAAGGGCCUACAUAUUUAUGAAAAUCUCGAGUGUGAGACCAGGAAUAAUACGAAAUCUAGAACCGUAACUUACGUGAGACAUUAAUAUACGGCCUGUACAAUCGUGUGUGAGACAUCAUCACAUUAAGACACUCUGGGCAUCAACAUAUCGUUCAACGUUCCAAACCACCACAAGCCUACAUGUACACCAGCUGCACUGUUUCGAGAGCCGCCCGUAAGACCGGCUUAAGGCCUGAUUCCACGGGAGCUUUUUCUCGGCGAAAUGCGAAAUAUUUCGCCUGUGUCUUUUGAAUUGCGACCACUCGAAUAAAUUAUUUCUACUUGAUUGCUCACAAUUCAAAAGAAACAAGCGAAAUAUUUCGCAUUUCGCCGAGAAAAAGCGCCCGUGGAAUCAGGCCUUUAUAAAGGAUGGUUGGAUUUCCGUGAAUUCUAAUAAAAUUAUUAUCAAUAUAACUGUUGUCUUGUUCAAAGUACUGUAUUCUCUGGA